UUCAUCUUGUCUGGGGCCGGGGCCAGCCCACAAUUUUUGGGGGUCCCCUGCAAGAUAUAGUUCUGGGGCCCCCUGAUCCAUC